AGAACGAACGCUGGCGGCGGGCUUAACACAUGCAAGUCGAACGGUUGUAGCAAUACAGCAGUGGCAGACGGGUGAGUAACACGUGAGAACCUUCCUAGGGGUACGGAACAACUCAGGGAAACUUGAGCUAAUACCGUAUACGUCCGUGAGGAGAAAGAUUUAUCGCCCCUAGACGGGCCCGCGUAGGAUUAGGUAGUUGGUGAGGUAACGGCUCACCAAGCCUACGAUCCUUAGCUGA
rnacentral:rRNA from 1 species